rnacentral:rRNA from 1 species
UACGUAGGGUGCUAGCGUUGUCCGGAUUUAUUGGGCGUAAAGAGCUCGUAGGCGGUUUGUCGCGUCUGCCGUGAAAGUCCGGGGCUCAACUCCGGAUCUGCGGUGGGUACGGGCAGACUAGAGUGAUGUAGGGGAGACUGGAAUUCCUGGUGUAGCGGUGAAAUGCGCAGAUAUCAGGAGGAACACCGAUGGCGAAGGCAGGUCUCUGGGCAUUAACUGACGCUGAGGAGCGAAAGCAUGGGGAGCGAACUGG